UCCUUAGAUGUCCGGGGCCGCACGCGAGCUACACUGAAGGAAUCAGCGUGGCUUUCUCCCUGACCCGAAAGGGUUGGGAAACCCGUUGAAUCUCCUUCGUGAUAGGGAUUGGGGCUUGAAAUUGUUCCCCAUGAACGAGGAAUUCCCAGUAAGCGCGAGUCAUAAGCUCGCGUUGAUUACGUCCCUGCCCUUUGUACACACCGCCCGUCGCUACUACCGAUUGAACGGUUUAGUGAGGGCCUCGGAUUGGUCUCGGCCCGCUCUUUACCGGGCGGCGCCGUUGGUCGAGAAGACGCUCGAACUUGAUCGUUUAGAGGAAGUAAAAGUCGUAACA
rnacentral:rRNA from 1 species